rnacentral:tRNA from 1 species
GUAUUAGUAGUUCAGUGGUAAAUUCUCACCUUCCAUGUGAGAGACCUGGGUUCAAUUCCUGGCCAAUGCA